UGUAAUUACUAUCUUUUCAUCGCCUUCUCAGAGUACAAAAGCUCUCUCUUUAGCGUCCGCUACAAGCGACUUUUAUUUCGAUAGGAGAUUUGCUUCCUCAACAUGUGUUUCUUUCUUCCCUGUACUUCCUUUGUUGCCACACAUCUGAUGAGAAAAAACCCCAUAGAGAACUGUGAUUUGUCCGAUUGAAGGCAGAAUUUCAGCGAGCGGAAGAGUUCGUUCGGAAUUUUCGCUCCGAUGCAUAAAAUUGUUUCGCCAAUUGAAAUUCUGCUCUCAACGCCUUCAAUUCGACCAAUCUCACUUGUAUAAGUUUUCGUUUCCGAUUUUUCGGCUUGAUUCUUCACUGAGCUCCUGUUCCAAAGCAGAAAAAGUCCUACACGUUCGAAAUUUCGAAAAAGAUGAAGUGAGAAAAUGGACGCCGUAGACACAGAGUUCGAUCCGGCGAAGGAGAGCUUUUGCCUAGUCAAGAAGUGCCACGAUACUUCUAAGAAUUCGCGAAGUUGACAUUUGGUACAGAUUUAGGAUUCGUGAUGACAGGAUUCAUCGGGUUCUUAAUGAAGCUUAUCUUAAUCCCUGUCAACAUCAACGUUGGAUCUGGCUAAUGAAGAUGAUCGAUUCUCUAAAAUAUGCAGUGAAGCAGAUGUGUGCAUCAAACAAUGACCUCGCAAUUUCAUGAAGUGGACACAAUGCGAGCUUGAAAUGGUCAGCGAGGUUUUCAUAUGCACAUUUUACGUAAGAGGCAGAAUCCACGGCAUCCAAUGGGGGGAAAUGCCAUUGCUAAGGGGACUCAGCCUCAUCUAAUCAUAUAAAGUUUGUUUUGAUGUCUACACAGAAGUGAUGGCAUAAUUGCAAGUGCCAUAGCAAGAGAUUACUGGAACUUGAUCUCUAGUCCAGAUCCCAUCAUCCAGGUCAGGUUGGAUUGGGCUAAAGAACAUUAGGGACUUUUGAAACAGUUUACUUUUGAUUGCCGGAGUUGUUAGGCCCAUUUGAAUUGGGCCUUCGGUUUGGGCCACUAUACCAUAAAGAUUUGGGCUUUUGGCCCAUUCAAAUUGAGCCUUGAUUUGGGCCAAUUUAAGCAGAUAAUUUGGGCUUCAGGUCCAUUCAAAUUGGGCCUUAGGUUCAGGCAAGUAUAUCCGUUAGAUUUGGGCUUUAGGCCCAUUCCAAUUGGGCCAUUAUAACCUGAAGAUUUAGGUUUUGCGCCCAUUUGAAUUGGGCCUCAGUUUGGGCCAUUAUUCCUAGAGAAUUUGGGCUUUUGGCCCAUUCUAAUUGGGAGCAGGGUUUGGGCCAAUGUACGUCGAGAAUUUGGGCUUUAUGCCCAUUGGAAUUGGGCCUCGUUGUGACCGCAUAUUGACUUAAGUCGGGCAUAGGAACAUGCAAACUUGGCUUCAAUAAUGGGUCUACUAUCUUUUUCUGCACUACGUUCAUUCAACUUAGAACAAGCCACCUUUAAAGCCCA